UAAAAAAAAAGAAACACACGAGCAUGACCUCUCCUCGAUGUGCACGGUACCGCCGCCGCCGCCACACGCGGCCGGUCUUCCACUCCGUCUUGCCGCCGCCCUGCUUCCCCUUCCCAUCCGCCCCCAAUCUCCGGCGCCGCCCCAGCCUCCUCUACCUCCAACCUCCUGCUGCCUCCUGCCGUCCGUCUCCAAUUUGGAUCGAAGUCGGAGUCCGUGUUCACGCAGGACAACUUGUCCAACACAAAUCCAUGGAGUGCCCGGCCCGGACUCACAGGGACUUGGAUGCCAUAAGAAGGAGCCCUCUCGACGCGAUCCAACGAGGUGCACACGACGUCGAUGGUGGAGCUCCAGGCGGUAGGCGAUGGCAUCACAUCGGUUGUAGCUGCGUGGGGAAGAGGAGGGGAGGAAGAGGUGGCGCUGCAACUUCCGCCGCCGGCGCUAUCCGUAUCCACCUUCAACUCCGUCUUGAGGAUGUGUUCCGCGACUGGCACCUCCUGCGCCUUGCACGACAGCCAUCGAACCACGCAGUCGGUGCCAUCAUCAUCAGCUUGGCUGCCUGCAGGUGAUAGGCGAACCACGACGCAGUCAGCGCCAUAACCAUCAGCUUGCGUGGUGAUAGGCGAACCACGAUACAGCCGGCGCCUGCUACUGCACCACCAACCCUGGCUGCUCGCGGUAGCCUAAGUCCACUACCGUCACGACUCACGACCCAACGUUGGCUGCCAAAGCGGCAACCUCCGUGCUCUGCUCCUCACAUUGGUUGUGCCAUGGGUGUUAUAACUCGUGUUGAUACAAGCCUGGGCCCGCAUGCACGUUGCAAUGAUGGAAAAGAGCAGAAAAGCAUUCCUGUCUGGUUUUCCUUCAGCUAAAUCUUCUAGCAGUUCAAAUGGGGAUGUGAUCUUAUUGCUUUUGUUGGACACUGAACUGGGAUGCGAUGCUAUCUUUCUUGCAGUUUAGAGAGAUAUGUGCUCUUGCUGCUUCUGAAUUUUUUCUCAAACUGGAGGUUCAUCAAUUCUUAUUCUAAUUUCGAUUUCAUGGUGACUACUCGUAAACAUGACAGGGAUGUAGAGAUGUCUUGCAUUUGUGUCCAACAACUGUUUUUCUUAAUGUUUGGAUGAAAAAGAACUUUUUGCAGUGUUUCAGCUUAUCAUACGGUCAAAGCCGGACAUGGUGCGUGCCGUGCCAUGGUCAUUGCUACGUUGAGCGAUGUGGCGUACUAGAAGGUCCAUUGGCAUGGUUCAUCGAGGAGAACUUACAACUGAAGGCCCUUCUCCAGUCUGGCCUCCUCCUCAGUUGAUUCUCCCAGUAAUCAUUUUUUCUUAAUUUGGAUUGAAUGAAAUGUGCCUUUGGUGUUGUCGAUUUUGCACAGAUUGCUGCAUCCGACAGGCAGCACACACCAAUCAUUUUAUAUUUGAGGGACCGCGGGCGCUUUAAGGCAGCAUAGUGCUGACAAUUAAAAGGAUGCUUGAGGUAUAAUUUAUUAACAUUGUACAAUUUUAGUAGAGGAAGAAGUACUAGCUAUGGAUGAUUACUGCGAGUAUGAGAUUGUGAGUGGUGUAGGCUUGUUAAGCUACAAGGCUGUUCUGGCUUCUGAUGGUUAAGUUGUUUAGGCAAUGACAGUACUAGAUCAGUUUAAUCCAGUAGAAAUGCAGCUAAGCAAGGCUAGCUGUAAUGUAGAUAAGCAAGGGUAGGAAUGCUUCACUCUUUGGUAUGAACAAAUGGCGUAAAUAGCAGUAAUGCAGCUUAUGGUUUGUAUUUGAUCUGAAUGAAGUGUAACCAAUUGAAGGUAACAUCAAAAUCCAGCACCACAGUAUUCAGUUUUUUAUAACCUGCAACAGAGUAUGUAUAGGAAAGUAUACUUUUUGUGAA